rnacentral:rRNA from 1 species
GACGAACGCUGGCGGCGUGCUUAACACAUGCAAGUCGAACGGAAAGGCCCUGCUUGCUGGGUACUCGAGUGGGGAACGGGCGAGUAACUCGUGGGUGAAUUGCCCUCCACUUCGGGAUAAGCUUGGGAAACUGGGUCUAAUACCGGAUAGGAAAUAUCUUUAGCGUGGUGGUUGGAAAGUUUUUUCGGUGUUGGGUGAGCUGGCGGGCUAUCAGCUUGUUGGUGGGGUGAUGGCCUACCAAGCCGGCGACGGGUAGCCGGACUGUGAGGGUGAACGGCCACCUUGAGACUUAGAGACGGCCCAGACGCCGACUGGAGGCAGCAGGGGGGAAGAUUGCACAAGGGGCGCAGGGCUGAUGAAGCGGGGCCGCGGGGGGGAUGAAGGCCUUCGUGUUGUAAAAUACUUUCGCGAGGGACGAAGCUUUUUGUGACGGUACCUAGAGAAGAAGCACCGGCUAACUACGUG